GUGCACAUUUCAAAUCAGUUUUAAACCUGCUCUUAUUGGUUUAAUUUCUGUCUGAAAUCAUUUUACCGUAUCUGGGACUCUUUACAGACAUUUGUUCCACCUAAGCCGAGAGCACACCCUUUCCCAUCCGUGCUGUCUGGCAGGCAGCUAAGUGCUAUAGACGAGACAGCACUUACAGUAGAAAAAGCAUUCCUCUUUGGGAGAUCAUAAUUUCCGACGCGUUCGGGACAACCGGGAACUCUGAAUUUUCCAACUCGGAACCUCC
ensembl:lncRNA